rnacentral:rRNA from 1 species
GACGAACGCUGGCGGCGUGCUUAACACAUGCAAGUCGAACGGAAAGGCCCUGCUUUUGUGGGGUGCUCGAGUGGCGAACGGGUGAGUAACACGUGAGUAACCUGCCCUUGACUUUGGGAUAACUUCAGGAAACUGGGGCUAAUACCGGAUAUGAGCUCCUGCUGCAUGGUGGGGGUUGGAAAGUUUCGGCGGUUGGGGAUGGACUCGCGGCUUAUCAGCUUGUUGGUGGGGUAGUGGCUUACCAAGGCUUUGACGGGUAGCCGGCCUGAGAGGGUGACCGGCCACAUUGGGACUGAGAUACGGCCCAGACUGCUACGGGAGGAAGCAGUGGGGAAUAUUGCACAAUGGGCGGAAGCCUGAUGCAGCAACGCCGCGUGCUGGAUGACGGCCUUCGGGUUGUAAACCGCUUUCGCCUGUGACGAAGCGUGAGUGACGGUAAUGGGUAAAGAAGCACCGGCUAACUACGUG